UACAGAGGUCCCAAGCGUUGUUCGGAUUCACUGGGCGUAAAGGGUGCGUAGGUGGCAAGGUAAGUUCGAUGUGAAAUCUCCGGGCUCAACCCGGAAACGUCAUUGAAGACUAUCUGGCUCGAGGGUUGGAGGGGGGACUGGAAUUCUCGGUGUAGUAGUGAAAUGCGUAGAUAUCGAGAGGAAUACUAGUGGCGAAGGCGAGUCCCUGGACAAUUCCUGACACUGAGGCACGAAAGCCAGGGGAGUAAAUAGG
rnacentral:rRNA from 1 species